GACGAACGCUGGCGGCGUGCCUAAUACAUGCAAGUCGAACGGUUUAGUUCCAAGAGGCUUGCCUUUUGGAACUAGACAGUGGCGGACGGGUGAGUAACACGUAGGCAACCUACUUGUCAAACCGGGAUAACCUCGGGAAACCGAAGCUAAACCCGGAUCAGCUCCUUUUUCGCAUGAAGGGGGAGUGAAAAGGUGCGACCUGAUGACAGAUGGGCCUGCGGCGCAUUAGCUAGUAGGUAGGGUAACGGCCUACCUAGGCGAUGAUGCGUAGCCGACCUGAGAGGGCGUACGGUCACACUGGGACUGAGAUACGGCCCAGACUCCUACGGGAGGCAGCAGUAGGGAAUCUUCGGCAAUGGGCGAAAGCCUGACCGAGCGACGCCGCGUGAGUGAGGAAGGCCUUCGGGUUGUAAAACUCUGUUGUUUGGGAAGAAGGGAAAGGGUAGGACCCUUUGGUGACGGUACCAAACGAGAAAGCCCCGGCUAACUACGUG
rnacentral:rRNA from 1 species